GGGCCCGUAGCUCAGCUGGGAGAGCGUACCCUUGGCAUGGGUAAGGUCGCCGGUUCAAUCCCGGUCGGGUCCA
rnacentral:tRNA from 1 species